AGCAGCCGCGGUAAUUCCAGCUCCAAUAGCGUAUAUUAAAGUUGUUGCAGUUAAAAAGCUCGUAGUUGAAUUUCGGGGUCAGUAGGUUGGUCAUGCCACUGGUAUGUACUGGUCUCACUGAUUCCUCCUUCCUGAUGAACCGUAAUGCCAUUAAUUUGGUGUUGCGGGGAGACUGGACUGUUACUUUGAAAAAAUUAGAGUGUUUAAAGCAAGCUAACGCUUGAAUACAUUAGCAUGGAAUAAUGAAAUAGGACGUUCGAUCCUAUUUUGUUGGUUUCUAGGAUUGACGUAAUGAUUAAUAGGGAUAGUUGGGGGCAUUAGUAUUCAAUUGUCAGAGGUGAAAUUCUUGGAUUUAUUGAAGACUAACUACUGCGAAAGCAUUUGCCAAGGAUGUUUUCAUUAAUCAAGAACGAAAGUUAGGGGAUCGAAGACGAUCAGAUACCGUCGUAGUCUUAACCAUAAACUAUGCCGACUAGGGAUCGGAUGAUGUUAAUUUUUUAAUGACUCAUUCGGCGCCUUACG
rnacentral:rRNA from 1 species